AUGAACGCUGGCGGCGUGCCUAAUACAUGCAAGUCGAGCGAACAGACGAGGAGCUUGCUCCUCUGACGUUAGCGGCGGACGGGUGAGUAACACGUGGAUAACCUACCUAUAAGACUGGGAUAACUUCGGGAAACCGGAGCUAAUACCGGAUAAUAUAUUGAACCGCAUGGUUCAAUAGUGAAAGACGGUUUUGCUGUCACUUAUAGAUGGAUCCGCGCCGCAUUAGCUAGUUGGUAAGGUAACGGCUUACCAAGGCAACGAUGCGUAGCUGACCUGAGAGGGUGAUCGGCCACACUGGAACUGAGACACGGUCCAGACUUCUACGGGAGGCAGCAGUAGGGAAUCUUCCGCAAUGGGCGAAAGCUUGACGGAGCAACGCCGCGUGAGUGAUGAAGGUCUUCGGAUCGUAAAACUCUGUUAUUAGGGAAGAACAAAUGUGUAAGUAACUAUGCACGUCUUGACGGUACCUAAUCAGAAAGCCACGGCUAACUACGUG
rnacentral:rRNA from 1 species